CACGCUUCACCAGUGAAACGAGCUACUGUGCAAAGCACCGGUGGAAGAUAAGUAGGCUAAAUGAUUUCACAAAAAAGGACUAUAUCCUUCAGGGACAAAGAAAAGAUGGAGGAAGAGGAAGAAGAUAAAAAAGCCUAGACAAAGAUAUGUCCAUUUCCAUACUCUCCAGAACUAAGUCUGGUACCCCCAUCCUCUGUGCCCCUAUCUGGAACCACUGCUGAUCUGCCUGCUGCCACCUCCACCAAACUCCACUUCAUCCACCUGGGAAGAAAAGGACACCUGCACCGCAAUACUGCUCCUAGGUGUUGUUUGGCAUUCAAAACUCUCAAUACUGAGCAUCAAAUAAGAAAACGAUACCAACUUUGUGAUCAAUCCAUUUCUCACACUGCUGACGUCAGCUCCACCCACAUCCAACUUUGGUAAUCAUAACACCUUGGCUUGGGUGUAGGAGGUUCUGUGGUACCCAUUACAGAGAACCUUCAACACCCAGUUUGCAGCCUCAGUUAGAAGCAGUCUAAGAAGAAAAUGAGGAGAGUUCACAUUGUGUCUCAUACUCACCAUGUUCUACAUAAGGACUAGAGAGGUAAUUAUUUGCAGCUGUAACACAGUCUGGUUUGGGAAUUGUACUACAAGAGCCUACAGUGCAGAAUGAGGACAGGUAAAAAGACUAUUGGUGUUUCUCUGCCUGUCGAGCUAAUCAACCUUUGCAUGACCUGCUGCACUUGCAGUGAUGUAGAAGUGUGACGGUUGCCCAUUCACACAUUUCAUUGCUUCCUCUUCCUGCAGUCCUCUGAAAAAAAAUAUUGCAACAUGAAGGCGUUAAAUACUAAUAGGGAAACGGUUUUUCUCCACAUAAGCCACCAGAUUCCUGAAUGCACUGUCAAGUGCCUUCCCUAAACUAAGUCUGUACUGUAUAUACACACUAUCCUCAACUUAGCCUUUGUGUUAUAUUGUGUGUUGGACUGAAGAGAAGCAUCUCAUUUCUUCAUGUAUU